rnacentral:rRNA from 1 species
AUUGAACGCUGGCGGCAGGCCUAACACAUGCAAGUCGAGCGGAUGAGUGGAGCUUGCUCCAUGAUUCAGCGGCGGACGGGUGAGUAAUGCCUAGGAAUCUGCCUGGUAGUGGGGGACAACGUUUCGAAAGGAACGCUAAUACCGCAUACGUCCUACGGGAGAAAGUGGGGGAUCUUCGGACCUCACGCUAUCAGAUGAGCCUAGGUCGGAUUAGCUAGUUGGUGAGGUAAAGGCUCACCAAGGCGACGAUCCGUAACUGGUCUGAGAGGAUGAUCAGUCACACUGGAACUGAGAAACGGUCCAGACUCCUACGGGAGGCAGCAGCGGGGAAUAUUGGACAAUGGGCGAAAGCCUGAUCCAGCCAUGCCGCGUGUGUGAAGAAGGUCUUCGGAUUGUAAAGCACUUUAAGUUGGGAGGAAGGGCAGUAAGUUAAUACCUUGCUGUUUUGACGUUACCAACAGAAUAAGCACCGGCUAACUUCGUGCCAGCCGCCGCCGUAAAAC